rnacentral:misc_RNA from 1 species
CCCUAAAAGACUAGUCCAAUAGGGAAAGGGUGGCUCUCCUCCUUCCAAGCUAAGUAAGGUGGGAUAGGAAGGGCCCAAUCUCCCUAAAAGACUAGUCCAAUAGGGGAAUG